rnacentral:tRNA from 1 species
AAUCCGCCAUCUUAUUUAGGACGUCGCUGGUUCGAAUCCAGCCAGAUGCA